CAAAAAUAAACUAAACAAAAAACAACCUUUAUUUGACUCACACUCCCCCUCCCACUUUCCUUCUUCAUCUCUCUCUUCCAAACACAAAGAACCUUCCUCCCAACAACUACAUCAAAAUUCUAAAACAACCCACCUUCAAAUCACCGGAGCCACCAUGGACCUCCGCCACUUCUUCGAAUUCCGGCCACCUUCCAUCCACACUUCUUACUCCGGCUAAAAAUAAUGCUAGGAGGUAAACAAAAGACACUCUUUUUCAAACAUACCCCUCCUUGACAUAUCAUUUUCACACAUACCCACAAAAUAUUUUCCUCAUUCAAGUAAAUAUUUUGUCGGAAAAUCAAGAAAUCUUGAACCUUUUCCGGUAAUAAUGGCGGCGUCGACCAGUACAGCCAGUCCCCAACAAUCACCACCACCUCCACCACCCCCAGUACCGGAGUCAACGGAUGAGUCUGCGGCGAAGAUUGUUCAUAAACGAUAUGAAGGGCUUGUGAUGGUUCGUACGAAAGCGAUUAAAGGGAAAGGAGCUUGGUAUUGGGCUCAUUUAGAGCCGAUUCUUGCUCAUAAUCCCGACACCGGUUUACCAAAAGCCGUCAAGCUCCGGUGUUGUUUAUGUGGUGCCGUUUUCUCCGCUUCAAAUCCAUCAAGAACAGCCUCCGAGCAUCUGAAAAGAGGAACUUGUCCAAAUUUCAACUCUGAUUCUAACCCCAAACCGAUUUCCUCCAUUUCACCAACUGGAAUGAUGAAUUUGUCGUCUCCGACGUCGUCGUCGUCGCCUCAGCCGCUGCAGAACCACCGCAAACGUAACUCCGGCAACCGUAACAGGGCCACCAAUCCUCCCACGACAUACUCGGUUGCUCCGAUUACAAUGAUUGAACCAGCAAGAUUCUCAAUCGAGGGGUCGUACCCAACCCGACCUGAGUCAAUGCCUGCAUUGCCGGCGCCGUCGACGUCGACGUCGCCGGCUGUUAUGGCUGUAAGCAGUAGUGGGUUGUACUCUCAGCAUCACCAGCAGUACCACCAUCAGCAGCAACAUAUGAUGUUAUCAGGUGGGAAAGAAGAUUUGGGUGCUUUAGCGAUGUUUGAAGAUAGUGUGAAGAAAUUAAAAUCUCCAAAAACAUCACCUGGUCAAACGUUGACUAAAUCACAAAUCGAUUCAUCGCUCGAAUUAUUAACAGAUUGGGUGUAUGAAAAUUGUGGGUCAGUUUCGUUUUCUAGUUUAAAUCAUCCAAAAUUCAAAACUUUCUUGAAUCAACUCGGGUUACCGGUAAUCUCCCGCCGGGAACUUGCCGGCGAACGACUGGAUUCCAAGUACCAAAAUGCGAAGUCUGAAUCAGAAGCUCGAAUUCGCGACGCAAUGUUCUUCCAAAUUUCAUCAGAUGGAUGGAAAUCAAAACCAGGUGAAAAAUUGGUGAAUUUAUCUGUGAAUUUACCGAAUGGAACAAGUGUUUUCCGACGAGCUGUUUUUACAAAUGGGUAUGUAUUUUCAAAGUAUGCAGAGGAUGUUUUAAUGGAAACGAUCAUUGAAAUUUGUGGGAAUAAUUUACCACAAUGCGUAGGCAUUGUUUCUGAUAAAUUCAAAUCAAAAGCGUUAAAGAAUCUCGAAAACCAACAUCAAUGGAUGAUCAAUCUCUCGUGUCAGUUUCAAGGAGUUAACAGUUUGAUUAAAGAUUUUAACAAGGAGCUACCAUUGUUCAAGAACGUGACAGAUAAUUGUUUUAAACUAGCAAAUUUCGUGAAUACCACAUCUCAGAUUAGAAAUUCUUUUCUCAAAUAUCAGUUUCAAGAAUCCGGGCGAGCCAGAUUGCUCCGAGUUCCAUUCAAAGCCAGUGAAAUCGAAUUCGAAUUCGAACCCGUGUUUAACAUGGUGGAAGACAUCUUAACCUCCGCCAGAACAUUACAAUUGGUUUUACUCGACGAUAGUUACCAAAAACUAUCAAUGGAAAACCAACUCGCGAGGGAGAUUGAAGAAACAAUCCGAAAUCCCCAAUUUUGGAGGGAAAUCGAAGCCGUUCAUUCCUUAGUCAAGCUAAUUAAAUCCAUGGCUCACGAAAUCUCAAAGGAAAGACCACGAAUCGGGCAAUGUCUACCACUCUGGGAAGAACUCCGAGUGAAACUCAAAGACUGGUGCGUAAAGUUUCAGAUGAACGAAACCCACGUCGACAAGGUGUUCGACAAAAGGUUUAAGAGAAACUAUCACCCCGCAUGGGCUGCAGCAUUCAUCCUCGAUCCAUUCUAUCUAAUCCGAGAUAGAACAGGGAAGUAUUUACCACCUUUCAAAUGCUUAACUCCCGAUCAAGAAAAAGACGUAGACAAACUCAUAACACGUCUCGUAUCCCAACAAGAAGCUCAUAUCGCGUUAAUGGAGCUCAUGAAAUGGCGAACAGAAGGGCUAGAUCCAGUGUAUGCGCAAGCUGUUCAAUUGAAACAAAGAGACCCCAUUUCGGGUAAAAUGAAAAUCGCUAAUCCACAAAGUAGCAGGUUAGUUUGGGAAACUUAUUUAACAGAGUUUAAUUCAUUGAGGAAAGUUGCAGUGAGGUUGAUUUUUCUUCAUGCCACGUCAUGUGGGUUUAAAUGGAAUUGGUCUUUCUUGAAAUGGGCUCAAUCGAGGAGUGGAAUGGAAAAAGCUCAGAAAUUGAUCUUUAUUGCUGCUCAUUCUAGGGUUGAAAGAAGGGAUUUCUCAAAUGAUGAUGAAAAAGAUGCAGAAUUUUUUGCAGUUGCUAAUGGUUAACAGAAAUUACAAAAAUGCCACUGUUUUCCAAUCUCCUUGGAACCAAGAUUUGGUGAUGUAAUAUGUUGAUUGUAAUUUGUAAGGUGCGCUCUUUUCCAACAUCAACGACAUUUUGUUCAUGCAUCUUUCUUUUUAUAGAUGAAAAUUGGGUGACGUGGGCAAGAGAUUAUUAAAGUGGGUUUUUGAGAAAAAAAAAAUCUAAAUUUAGAAAAAAAAAUGCAAGAUUCUAGAAAAGAAUUCUUCUUUUGGUAGUAUCUGCCUAUUUGGAAAUAUCUCUACAUGGGAUUGGUCAACGAAACGCAAACCAUGGAAGGACCAAAGUGCAAAUUUUUUCUAUCUGAAGGGGCUAGAUAUGGAAUGUUAUGAAUCUUUGAGGGGCUAAAAUGGUUUGAUUGCAAUCAAGAUAGGGAAAAAGGAAAUUAUUGAUUUUUUACCUUUCUAGGUUAAUAGAGUAAACAUUAUUUUUGGGAAAAAAGUAAUGGUAAAAAAUAUAACGAAUGAGGAGCCGAUGGGUAGGAAGAUUGUCGGCCAGAAGUAACGCAUGAAGAUGCUUUGAUUGUGAUUUUACAUUACGGCAUAAGCCGAAUUUGUUAUUUUAGUUGAGGAAAUAGAAUAUUUGACAUUCUUUUUUCUUAUGUUUUGAUAUAAAAUAAUCAUAUUUUACAAUUUUGGUUGGAUUA